rnacentral:misc_RNA from 1 species
CUCGUACGCACACCUUGAUUACAGAGCAGGAGGCGCUGUACCGACAUCACACCAGCUCCGCGACGCCGGCACGGUACGUUGUACCUCUAAACACAUACAUAGCUAACUAGGCGCUUGCAUACGCGUGCAGCGGAUCGUACGGUGGAGUACGCGUGCCUGUGUGCGCACCUUCGCUUGAUUAUUGUUUUUGCCUUGCUGUUUGCUUGCUCCCGCCACGUGGGCCUCUGCAUACGAGGGAGGGGGAGGUGACGCACGCGCCCGCGGACUACGUCAGCACCGCUAACCUCAUCUCGUCCGUUCCUAACCCGCUUGUCGCCUUCCCUGUUGUGUAAUCCGGUGACGAGAGUCAUGUACAACUUCCAUAAGCGGGCGGACGCCCCCACAAGAGUCGAGGGCGAUGCCGGCGCGCAUGGAGCAAACGAUGGUCGCGACGAUGAACGGUCAUCGGCGGGGCCGCAAGCGAUGGCUGAAGAUGACGGCCAUGAUGCGCAGAGGCAAGGGCGCGCCUACGGGCACAGCGCCGAGUCUCGUGUUGGCGACUACGCGGAUGGGCUUGGUGCCCCUGUGGCGGGUAGUGGGGAGGGAUACGGUGACUACGGCCAGGAGGAUCCGGGCGGCUACGACAUGACGUCGUACCCCGCUCAGGGAAGCGACAAUCAGCAGCAGCAGCAGCAGCAGGCGUACAUGCAGCCCCAAGUGUACGGCCAAGGCGCCGAGGCCCGGGGAGAAGGGGAAGACGAUGCGCCCAUGUUUGCCGACUACCGCGGCCCCAUAGAUGGCGAGCGGGCGGAGCGCUACAACCGCCGUCUGCAGCAGCAGAAACAGUACGACGACAUCCCCAUGCCGCCAGACGACGCGGAUCCGCAAGAGGUGUUUACCUACUACCGCAAGCUCAUUGGGCUCGUGCACUUCGUGCCACCGCGGCACUGGCGCGAGAUCCGCUUCGACCUGCCGGCGAACGUCGCGGAGCUGCGCCUCUACCCACAGCGCCGCGAGCGCGUGCAGGAUCGUGAGCCGAUCAGGCCUACCUCGUGUAUCGCUAUUUCGCUGAAGGGCAUGCUGCCGGAGAACACGACGCCAUCCGAGUACGCGGCGCAGAUGGUGCAGUACAUGUUCGACCUACUGAACUACCAAAACGCCUCCACAGCCAUCACGGAGCUGCGCUUCGUGAAGAAAGGAACAGAGCUGUUGCAGAUGGUGGUGACGCUCGGCAAGGACAUACGGCUGGCGGGACGGGUUCUGACAGAACUGCAGGCCGCGGGCCUCCGCGCGUACUACGGCAAGCCGGUCUUCGAGUUUCCGCCGAACGCAACCUUUCAGGUGGUCGACUACCGUCGCACCCUGCACGACGGCAAGGGCAUCUCGGCUGAAGACGUCACAUUCCUGCUGGAGCCGAUUCGGCAGUACAACACCGUCGACAUCAACGUCAUCGAGGGCUACGAGCCCGGCGUCUUCUAUGCGCCGGUGAAGCGGCCCGAAACGGUGUACUCGUUCCUGUGGAACUACUUCUGUUCCUACAAGUUCCAGUCUGACCUGUUCCGCCGCUACGGCGUGCUGGUGACCAUGGCGCAGUGCCCGCACGAGUUCCUGCAGAAGGGCAUCCCGUAUCACAUCCAGAAGCAGCAGCUGGAGGAGAAAAUACGAGCAGAGCUGCAGCGCAAAGGCAUGGAGAAGCGCGAGUACGAUGGCAGCGGCGGUGGUGUCGGCGCUGGCGGCGUCGACGACGACGACGACUCUGACGAUGGCAUGAACGGCGGCGCCGACGAGGCGACCGGCGAAGGCCCACCGCCCGCGUGGGCCGCAAACGCCGCGGACGAGAUCGACAUCUUCGGGUCGAGCACCCCUGCCAGCCGCGUGCAGAAGAAGCAGCAGCAGCAGCAGCCCACCUCGGCGGCAGCGUCCGACCCGUUCGGGUAUGGUUCCGGCAGCAGCAGAGCUGCCGCCACAGCCGCGGCAGCAGCGACGGCAAACACUGUCGCAACGGCCAUCACCUUCGUCGACGAAGACGGUCUCGAGGAUGUGGAUGCACUGCUCCAGCAGUACAACGCCGUCACGGAGCCGCCACCGUCCGCAGGAAAGAAGAAAGAGGCUGCAGCGAAGGGGCGCAAGGGCAAGGAAACGACAUCGGCGGCAUCGGCAGCGGCUGUGGACGGGGGGCUGUCGGUGAGGAUGGUGUCGCACCGUCGGACACCGGCCCCCAAGGUGGCGCAUGCAUCCUGCCUCCGCCGCCGGUGGAGGGGGCUGGCUGGGGUGGUGGUCACGGCAGCUACGGUGGUGACCCUUAUGGUUCUCUGCCUGGGUAUGCACCUGAGCAGGGCGCGCACGGGUAUCCGCCGCCGCCACAGUACUACCCGUCUUCCGGCCCCUACGGCGGAGCUGGCCGUGGCGCGCCGCCAGAGUCGUACUACGACGGGUACCAGGGCGUUGCUCCCUUGCCACGCGCCGCCCCGUACCCGAGCGUUGCGCAGCGGUCCUCUUCGUCGUACGCCGCGCCACCAUAUGCGUACAGAGACCGAAGUGCCAUCGGCACAGCCGCCGACGCGCUGCCCGUCACCGCCGCCGGCGGCAGCGGCGCUGCGUCGGCGUACCCGCUGCUCGUGGACGAGGCAGAUGAUGAGCAAGACGUGAUCCAGCAUCCGCUGCCGCAGGAACAGCAGCAGCAGCAGCAGUCGUCGGCUUUGUGGUCGGGCGAUGGCAGCGGCGGUGGCUAUGGCAACUUGGACGGACAGCAGCCGCAGCAACUGCCGUCGUCCUCUCAGGCCAUCGCGCCAGCCCCUCACGAGAAAGAUAUGCUUCUCUCGUGGUCUAUGGAUGAGGGGCUGGCGCACAGCUCGGGGCCUGGCUACGCGGCGACCGGGGUCUUCUCUCCACUACCGCCUCAUCGCAUUCAGCAGGGUCACGUCAACGCCUUCCUGCCGGAAGGCGAGGAGGUCGGCGGCAUGCAGGGCUACGGCAGCAACUGGUCAGCCUUCAGCGACUCGCAGCAGCAGCAGCAGCUCAACGCCUACGAAGCUGGUGCUGCUGUCGGAGGCGUUCUUGGGGACUACGACCCGACUUUACCCUCGUACUACGCAGGCGGCGACGGUAGCAGCUAUCCGCCGCCAUCCCCACAAGCAGCGGCGCCGUGGAGCCACGCCGACAGCAACAGCGGAGCACCGCUGAGGUAUGGCGAGCCGAUGCCGAUGCCGGUGCCGAUGCCCAUGCCCAUGCCGCCGCACGUGCGCGAAGCAGCAGAGAUCGCGGCAGACUUAGAGGAGCGCAUCCAGGCUGCCUUUCCCGCCACGUGGGCCACCGCGUCGGCCGCCUCGGCGCAGCCGUUCCUGUUAGACGGCGAGGUGCUCGAGGGUCAGGACCUGCAGAGCACCUCGGAGGAGUCGAACUGCGUGCUGGAGCACAUCCCGGACGCAGCCGCGGCCGCCGUUGCGGAUCUUCCCGCCCCAACGACAGAGAUCGAGGAGCUGCUCAGUUUUCUGCAGCGCAACGUCAGCCUUGUUGGUCGCCUGCUCCAUAAGACCACCACGACGACCGUCGAGCAGGCGGCCGAGGUCGCCGUUUUCCGCGCCCGCGUUGCACGCGCGUUGCUGAUUGGCGCCACAAUGACUGUUGAAGAGUCGGGGUCGCCGGCGUCCCCAGAGGCGAUCCGCGCUGCGUGGGAGCGGCGUGCCGCUGACGGCGGCGAGGUGCCCGCCUCGCCUGCUGCGGCGAACGACGGCGAGGCAGGGGAGCCUGCGGAAGGGGAGGCGGCCCCUGCCGAGACGCAGUUGCCAGCCUUGCUCCCUUACCUGUUGCGCACCUCCGCGGGCGUCGACCUCGCGAUGCUGCUAGCCUUUCACUACCCCCGCGCCUUCUCACGGCGUUUUCUGCCGUAUGCCCCAGCGUACCUCUUCGACGAAAAUGUCGUUCGAGUCGUGGUUGCAACAGCGCUGCGGCGUGACGCGCAGGCAGCCAACGUCCUCGUCCGACACGUACUGGCGCACUGGUGUCCGUUGACGCAGUGGCUGCUGCGCGUCGCUCACCACAAAGCAGCGGAGAAGCGCAAUGGCGGCGAGGCGAGUGCAGCCGUAGUGGCUGCGGGCGAAAGUGGCAGCACAACGGCCGCCAUGAAGCAUCUCGUGUCGUCCAUCGGGAGCUCGAUGGACACCGUUCUCGCCGCGCUCUCCCCGGCGCAGCGCGAGUUCUGCCGUGCCAGCAACGAUGCGUGCAAUUACGUGGACGCGUUUGCUGAAGCGAUGCACGCAACUGGCGUCCAUGACCCGGCGGAGGAUAGUGGUGCGCUCCCCCUGCUCUGGGGUCCCGAUGGGGCGCUCUAUCGAUCUCUGGUGCGUCUCUACGUGAACGCGGACGUGUGCGACGGCGCGAAGGUGGCGCUGCGGAUGCUGUGCUGUGGCCGGUUCUCCUCGUCGGCGACGUCGACCUCUCUCGCCAGCGCCGAGGUGUGCCUGACGCGGGAUCACUACUACUACUGCAUCGUGUUGCUUUCCCGGUCGCAUACAGCCCCGGUGCUGAGUCGUGAGACGGCCGCCUUCUGUGGUGCAUUCCUGAAGCUGUUGGAGCUGCAGCACACGCGCUGGCAGCAGCAGCAGCAGCGCCCGGCAACCGAGGGCGGCGGCAACGCGACAAGGGCGCCCUCGGUCGGAGAGAAGGAAGCAGAGCAGCUCUUAGAUACUGCCUUCAAAGCCAUGCAGACGAUCGACGUCUACACCACCUUGCGUGACGCGUACUUGGCCGUCGAGGUCCCCAUCACCCGCUUCGAGUCCGUGCUUGCCCGCCUCAGCCCCGCCGAACCAUCCGCGAAACUGCAGCUGCAGGUGCCGACGCUAGCAGAGUGGUACGAUGGUAGCAACAGCAACAGCGGCAAGGGGAAGACCAACGCUGGUCAGCCGCCGCGCAAGCGCGGCACAGAGGCACCAGCGAUUCCUAGCAUCUUCUACUACCGAGCUCCGUCACGUCGCAACGCUCGGUGGAAUCAACCGCAGCAACAGCAGCCGCAGGUGUCGCACGCGACGUUGAACGCGUCCGGUGCCGGCGGCGGCAGCGGUCCGACGAGCAUCGCGUCUCGAUGGCGGCAAGAGUGGACGGCGGCCAUGCGCACGUAUCCUCCCUCGGGGGUCCCCUUCACCGCGUUGCCGGAGGGGUGGACGAGCCAACCCAGCCGCGAACACGGGCACUACUGCUUCACGCCCCCUGCGCCAGCGUCGUCGACGGACGGCGCAGCCGCCCCUGUCACCGCACCAACCUACAAGCAUCCCAUGGACGGCAAGGAGUACCCGGUCACCCCGCAAGCCCUCCUGCUGCAGGGGGCGGCCGCGGGUGGGAGUACCUCCAGUGUCACACUCGAUCAGGUGCGCACCCGCGCCAACGCCAUGCAUGCGGAAGAGGCCGCGGCCAUCGGGCUGCCACCACCGGCGGAGCUCACUGCCGCGGCCGCGGAGGCAUGGGCAUCGGAUCAGCGCCGCCGCAAUGUGUUCCUCGACAUCGCCACGAUGGAGCUCCUGGGCAUCAAGUACCGGCCAUCGGGUCGCGCCCACACCGUCGCCGCGGACGCCGCCUCGACAAGUGGCGUGAAGCGCGGUCGCGACGCCAGUGCGACGGCACCGACGCCGGAGCAGCUGCAACAGCUGCUCGCCAAGGCAAUUGCUAGGUCGUACCCCGCUGUAGGGGCGCCGUACCCGGUGGUCAGUCGCGGCUGGGCCGUUUACCUCAACUCCGCCCGCGGUCAGUAUGGUUUCAAGGGCCCAAACAGCGGCCCGAGUCAGCCGCCGCUCUUUGUGCACCCCAAGACGCGGAAGCACUACUUUGUAUCGCCUCAGGCGUUUGCACAGCAGCGAAAGGUGAACCUCGACGUGGUGGCGCGUGAUGCCGGAGUGGAGAAGAAGGACGUCGAGUCGUGGAUGGCCGAUCAGCGCAUCCGGCACGCUGCGAUCGAUGCCGCGGUGGUGAAGCUGAUACCGAUCACAUACAGCGACGUCGACAAGGCGAUGGAGGAGAACGCGGCGGUCGAAGUGGCCGGGGAUAGCGCAGCAGCGCCGCCGGUGUCAUCCUCGCGUGACCGGGACCACCAGAACCAGCACACGUCGUCAUCACGGCACCGCUCCGAGCGCGAGGGCCACGGCAGCAACAGCGGUCGAAAACGCCGACGCUACGAGGGCGGCGGUAGCGACGCCUCGCACAGCGAUGAUGACAAGCGCGAGAACGGCGACGGAUCCCGCGGCCGUCGCCGCCGCCGUGACCGAUCACCACGUCGGCGCGGCGGGAACGGCGGCGGCGGUGGUGGUGGUAAUCGUUGCCGUCGGUAGGACUCCGCUGGAUUGUUUGCCGACACCCCAUCUGCUGUGCAGCAGCCACGUGCACUGGUGCGCAGGCGCUGUUUGCGGCGAGGGGCAUGAACAUUGGAGAGAGCGAGCGCGCGCGCGCGACGUACGAAGUCGUGUGCGUGUGUGUGCUGGGAAGAGAGGCUUGGUUGACCGUUUUCGUCUUUGUGUGGCCGUUGAGCGCGUGGGCGGGUGUAGGGGCGGCCCGCUUCGGCGCAAAGAGAAGGUGCGCAGCAGCACCUCGUUGCCCCUCCCCCUCCGCCUCCUCCCUCUCCCUCCUUCACUCCUUCCCUCACACCCCCCCGUAGGUCGUGGAUGCGACAAGAGGCAGAGGGCAGGGCACCGUGCCCGCCGCUCGCCAUCCCACCCUCUCUUUUGUUGUUGUUUUGAUUACCCCACCACCACCACCACCACCGUCCACGCGAACAACGUGUGAAAGGCAUGGCCACGUGCCAUCGCAGGGGAUGGAGCUGGCACACGUGAGUGGUGGCCAUCACAAGGGGGCGUGUCGGGCGGCGUUUAAGUGAGAAGGGGGACUUAACAGGCACAAUGCGCACAACGCCCAAUACGCGAAAAAAAAAAAAAACAUGGAAGCGCCGCAGCAAACGUUGACGACAGAACAGCACGAGCACAGAGUACCACGCUGCGGUGUACGUGUCUCUCCCCGUCUCUCUCUCUCUCUUUGUGCCUCUGUGUGUUGUGAUGAUACCGCCAGCAACGAUCUGCGGAUGUGCUGGCAUGCCGGUGUGCGCAAGGGCGACAAAUCACGAGGAGGAUGGCCUCUAUCGUUUGCCCUUCACCUCUUACCACGAUUAGCGAGGCCAUG